rnacentral:lncRNA from 1 species
AAUGAAAUUGUAUUAUGAACUCUUUAUUAUUCAUAAUGUAAAAGUUGGAUGUUGCCUAGUCCCUAUAUGAGAUGAAAUCUAUUUUCAUAAUAUGAAAAUUUUGAUUUUUGUGAUAGUUGUGAUGCCUGAACGAUUUUAAAUGAAAUUGCAUUAUGAACUCUUUAUUAUUCAUAAUGUAAAUGUUGGAUGUUGCCUAGUCUCUAUAUGAGAUGAAAUCUAUUUUCAUAAUAUGAAAAUUUGGAUUUUUGUGAUAGUUGUGAUGCCUCAACGACUUUAAAUGAAAUUGAAUUAUGAACUCUAUUAUUCAUAAUGUAAAAGUUGGAUGUUGCCUAGUCCCUAUAUGAGAUGGAAUCUAUUUUCAUAAUAUGAAAAUUUUGAUUUUUGUGAUAGUUGUGAUGCCUCGACGACUUUAAAUGAAAUUGCAUUAUGAACUCUUUAUUAUUCAUAAUGUAAAAGUUGAAUGUUGCCUAGUCCCUAUAUGAG